rnacentral:rRNA from 1 species
UGGGGAAUAUUGCGCAAUGGGGGAAACCCUGACGCAGCGACGCCGUGUGAGGGAAGAAGGCUUUCGGGUCGUAAACCUCUGUCAGAAAGGAAGAACCUCCCAAGUCCGAAUAGGGUUUGGGACUGACGGUACUUUCAAAGGAAGCACCGGCUAACUCCGUGCCAGCAGCCGCGGUAAUACGGAGGGUGCAAGCGUUAAUCGGAAUCACUGGGCGUAAAGCGCGCGUAGGCCGCUUUGUAAGUCGGACGUGAAAGCCCUCGGCACAACCGGGGAACUGCGUUCGAUACUGCGAGGAUUGAGUCGUGGAGAGGGUGGCGGAAUUCCGAGUGUAAGAGUGGAAUCCGUAGAUAUCCGGAGGAACACCGGUGGCGAAGGCGGCCACCUGGACAGGUACUG